rnacentral:misc_RNA from 1 species
GAUGAAGAACGUAGCGAAAUGCGAUAAGUAAUGCGAAUUGCAGAAUUCCAGUGAAUCAUCGAGUCUUUGAACGCACAUUGCGCCCCCUGGUAUUCCGGGGGGCAUGCCUGUCCGAGCGUCAUUGCUGCCCUCAAGCACGGCUUGUGUGUUGGGCCCCGUCCUCCGAUCCCGGGGGACGGGCCCGAAAGGCAGCGGCGGCACCGCGUCCGGUCCUCGAGCGUAUGGGGCUUUGUCACCCGCUCUGUAGGCCCGGCCGGCGCUUGCCGAUCAACCCAAAUUUUUAUCCAGGUUGACCUCGGAUCAGGUAGGGAUACCCGCUGAACUUAAGCAUAUCAAUAAGCGGAGA